CAGGAUGAACGCUAGCGGCAGGCCUAAUACAUGCAAGUCGGACGGGAUCCAUCGGAGAGCUUGCUCGAAGAUGGUGAGAGUGGCGCACGGGUGCGUAACGCGUGAGCAACCUACCUCUAUCAGGGGGAUAGCCUCUCGAAAGAGAGAUUAACACCGCAUAACAUCAACAGUUCGCAUGUUCGGUUGAUUAAAUAUUUAUAGGAUAGAGAUGGGCUCGCGUGACAUUAGCUAGUUGGUAGGGUAACGGCUUACCAAGGCGACGAUGUCUAGGGGCUCUGAGAGGAGAAUCCCCCACACUGGUACUGAGACACGGACCAGACUCCUACGGGAGGCAGCAGUAAGGAAUAUUGGUCAAUGGGCGGAAGCCUGAACCAGCCAUGCCGCGUGCAGGAUGACUGCCCUAUGGGUUGUAAACUGCUUUUGUCCAGGAAUAAACCUAAAUACGUGUAUUUAGCUGAAUGUACUGGAAGAAUAAGGAUCGGCUAACUCCGUGCCAGCAGCCGCGGUAAUACGGAGGAUCCGAGCGUUAUCCGGAUUUAUUGGGUUUAAAGGGUGCGUAGGCGGCCUAUUAAGUCAGGGGUGAAAUACGGUGGCUCAACCAUCGCAGUGCCUUUGAUACUGAUGGGCUUGAAUCCAUUUGAAGUGGGCGGAAUAAGACAAGUAGCGGUGAAAUGCAUAGAUAUGUCUUAGAACUCCGAUUGCGAAGGCAGCUCACUAAGCUGGUAUUGACGCUGAUGCACGAAAGCGUGGGGAUCGAACAGGAUUAGAUACCCUGGUAGUCCACGCCCUAAACGAUGAUAACUCGAUGUUGGCGAUAGACAGCCAGC
rnacentral:rRNA from 1 species